UACAGAGGUCCCAAGCGUUGUUCGGAUUCACUGGGCGUAAAGGGUGCGCAGGUGGUUUGGCAAGUUUGACGUGAAAGCCCCGGGCUUAACCCGGGAAUGGCGUUGAAAACUGCUUGAACUGGAGGAUUGGAGGGGGGACUGGAAUUCUUGGUGUAGCAGUGAAAUGCGUAGAUAUCAAGAGGAACACCAGUGGCGAAGGCGAGUCCCUGGACAAUUCCUGACACUGAGGCACGAAAGCCAAGGGAGCAAACAGG
rnacentral:rRNA from 1 species